CCUACGGGAGGCUGCAGUGGGGAAUAUUGGACAAUGGGGGGAACCCUGAUCCAGCCAUGCCGCGUGUGUGAAGAAGGCCCUCGGGUUGUAAAGCACUUUCAGUGAGGAAGAACGCCUGGUGGUGAAUACCCAUCAGGAAAGACAUCACUCACAGAAGAAGCACCGGCUAACUCCGUGCCAGCAGCCGCGGUAAUACGGAGGGUGCGAGCGUUAAUCGGAAUUACUGGGCGUAAAGCGCGCGUAGGUGGCUUGAUAAGCCGGUUGUGAAAGCCCCGGGCUCAACCUGGGAACGGCAUCCGGAACUGUCAAGCUAGAGUGCAGGAGAGGAAGGUAGAAUUCCCGGUGUAGCGGUGAAAUGCGUAGAGAUCGGGAGGAAUACCAGUGGCGAAGGCGGCCUUCUGGACUGACACUGACACUGAGGUGCGAAAGCGUGGGUAGCAAACAGGAUUAGAUACCCCAGUAGUC
rnacentral:rRNA from 1 species